AAACUUUCAACAACGGAUCUCUUGGUUCUGGCAUCGAUGAAGAACGCAGCGAAAUGCGAUAAGUAAUGUGAAUUGCAGAAUUCCGUGAAUCAUCGAAUCUUUGAACGCACAUUGCGCCCGCCGGCAUUCCGGCGGGCAUGCCUGUCCGAGCGUCAUUU
rnacentral:rRNA from 1 species